ACAGUCAGCUCAGAACUGGU
rnacentral:snRNA from 1 species